AGGGAGGAAGAGGCCAAGGUUUCAGAGCCUCAGGAAUGAGGAACAGCAGGAGGAACUGGACCAACAGGACCCAAGGGAGAGUAUCAAAGGCAAAACAAAGGAAAAUGAGGACAACCCAAUACUCAGAAAAAAAAACGAGUAAUUCAUGGAUUCACAACGGGCAACAAACUAGAUGACUAUUAGGAAGAGAAGAGCAAACCUUAUGAUCUCAAAAUGAUUUCUUGUUCAUUUGCAUCCUCGCAUCAAUCUAGACUUUAAGAAAUAUGUGAUUUUUAAAUAAAUGGGUAUAUCUGCA
rnacentral:lncRNA from 1 species